UGUGUCUCAUGUCUAGGAGUCCUCUAUCAGGACUAAGGUCUAACAAGACCAGCACAGAGAUGAGUCCUCUAUCAGCACUAAGGUCUAACAAGACCAGUACAGAGAUGAGUCCUCUAUCAGCACUAAGGUCUAACAAGACCAGUACAGAGAUGAGUCCUCUAUCAGGACUAAGGUCUAACAAGACCAGCACAGAGAUGAGUCCUCUAUCAGCACUAAGGUCUAACAAGACCAGUACAGAGAUGAGUCCUCUAUCAGGACUAAGGUCUAACUAGACCAGUACAGAGAUGAGUCCUCUAUCAGGACUAAGGUCUAACAAGACCAGGACAGAGAUGAGUCCUCUAUCAGCACUAAGGUCUAACAAGACCAGUACAGAGAUGAGUCCUCUAUCAGCACUAAGGUCUAACAAGACCAGUACAGAGAUGAGUCCUCUAUCAGGACUAAGGUCUAACAAGAC